CUCCGGCUGCUCCCGGCCGAAGGUGGAGACUGGCAGUGGCAGGCACCGCUGGCGAGGGCGUUUGGGGACCCAGGGUGACCACGGCGCAGCCAUGGGGACCGCGCUUGUGUACCAUGAGGACAUGACGGCCACCCGGCUGCUCUGGGACGAGUAAGUGGGACCUGGCCGAGGUGGGGUGCGGGGAGGGACCUCUGGACUGAGCUCUUCGUCUGUCCCAGCCCCGAGUGCGAGAUUGAGCGCCCUGAGCGCCUGACCGCAGCCCUGGACCGCCUGCGGCAGCGCGGCCUGGAACAGAGGUGUCUGCGGUUGUCAGCCCGCGAGGCCUCGAAAGAGGAGCUGGGCCUGGUGCACAGCCCAGAGUAUGUGUCCCUGGUCAGGAAGACCCAGGUCCUAGGCGAGGAGGAGCUGCAAGCGCUGUCCGGACAGUUCGACGCCAUCUACUUCCACCCGAGUACCUUUCACUGUGCACGCCUGGCCGCAGGGGCUGGACUGCAGCUGGUGGAUGCUGUGCUCACGGGAGCUGUGCAAAAUGGGCUUGCCCUGGUGAGGCCCCCCGGGCACCACAGCCAGAGGGCAGCUGCCAACGGGUUCUGCGUGUUCAACAACGUGGCCAUAGCAGCUGCAUAUGCCAAGCAGAAGCACGGGCUACACAGGAUCCUCAUCGUGGACUGGGAUGUGCACCAUGGCCAGGGAAUCCAGUAUCUCUUUGAGGAUGACCCCAGCGUCCUUUACUUCUCCUGGCACCGCUAUGAGCAUGGGCGUUUCUGGCCUUUCCUUCGAGAGUCAGAUACAGACGCAGUGGGGCGGGAACAGGGCCUCGGCUUCACUGUCAACCUGCCCUGGAACCAGGU